UUUUUUUUGUGGUUUAAUUUUGGAAUUUUUUUUUUUUUUUGAUGCUGUGAUUUGUGUUUCUGGUGUUGAUUUCGAGUUUUCUAGAUUAGUGAUUGGGACUUGUGAUUUGUUGAGAUUUCAUUUGCUUUUGGUUUGGAUGGCGAGAAAGCAGAGGGAGAGGAGUAUUUUGAGUUGGUUAGUGGACUGGAGCGUUUUGUUUUCUCGGGAAAAGUUUAGAGAUUCGGAAUUUGAGUUUGUUUCUCUAGUUUCCGGCAUUUUCUCGGCAACCAAACACUGGAUUGGUUUGAUUUUUGUUCAUGUCUUUUUUCUUCUUCUUUUUUUUGAGUGAAUCUUUCUACGGUCUGCGUGAUGAUGACAUCAUUGUUUUUGGAUUUAUGUGCCGAAUUUCAUUUUUGGUCACAAUUAUACGAGGUAUUGGAGGCCAUGAAUAUUGUAGGUGUAUCUUUUUAGUAGUUGCGCUGCUUUGAUUUCUGUGUUUCUUUUUUCUUUUUCUCUUUCUUUUUACUUGGAAUUACUUUUGUGUAUCAGUGAUAUUGCUAAUAUCUAGAAUUCUUCAAUUCUACUGGAAGAUCAACAAUAUGCAUCAUGAUAUUGCUAAUAUUAUUCCAUUAAUCUUAAAAAUUUGUUGCCAUAUCCAUCAUAAUGGGAAACAAUUCAAGGAUAGCAUUGUGGAUUUCUGGGAAGGAUUAGCAUCCCUCUUCAUAUGAUUGAAUAGACAUGUCUGUCAGUUGCUUUGCUUAGUAUGGGCAGUGGCUAGGGGAUUAUAGAUUUCAGAGUAAGGAAGCAUGCACAAACAAACUGAAAGAAAAAACCAACCAGAAUCUAAAGCAGAUAGCAACAAUCCAUACUCGAUCUGCUCUCAACCUUGGUGGCGUGGGCUUGGGAAUGAUGUCAUCUCUCCAGAUGUUUUAGGUGAAAGUUCACCAAAUUCAGCUUCAGCAGAACACCCAAAUGGUGGUGUAGGAACUAUAGCCAUCAAGUCGCGAGCCAAAGUUGUGACGGAUAAUGGAAAUGAUCCUGAAAAAGAAAUGAAAAUUACUUUAGCCUCGCAAUCAGAUGGAAGCCGUGGACAAGAACAAAAGCAUCCUCAGCAAGCUGUAUCAAUGAUGCCUAUGACUAUGGCUGAAUACCACCUUGCACCACCUUCCCAGCUGGAACUUGUUGGCCACUCAAUCAGCAACACGGAUGGAGUUACAAGUAAAACACUUUUGCAGGCGUGUGCAUCAUAUCCAUAUUCUGAACCUUAUUACACGGGAGUCAUUCCUGCUUAUGGACCUCAGGGUUUGGUACAAUCUCAAUUUCUUGGUGUGAAUGUGGCUCGAAUGGCUUUGCCUAUUGAAAUGGCAGAGGAACCUGUUUAUGUGAAUGCAAAACAGUAUCAUGGGAUUCUGAGGCGAAGACAAUCACGGGCGAAGGCCGAGCUGGAAAAAAAACUGAUAAAAGUUAGGAAGCCAUAUCUUCAUGAAUCAAGGCACCAGCAUGCUAUGAGAAGGGCAAGAGGAUGUGGAGGCCGUUUUCUCAACACAAAGAAGCUUGAUUCUAAUGCAUCGUAUGACAUGCCUGACAAGGGCUCUGAUCCAGAUGUAAACCUUUCAACACGACUCAUCAGCUCAUCAGUCUCUGAAUCUCUGCCCUCCAAUUCUUCCCGAAAUGAGGAUUCCCCCACCAGUCAUCUAGAUGCAAGAGGUCCCUCUGUGCAGGAAUUGCACAAUAGGCAAACAGCCUCCCAUGGAAAUGGCAACAGCUGUUAUCCACACAACCAGGGAUUUCAGUUGUCGACAUACCAUUCCCUUAAAGAUGAUCGCGUGGAAGAAGGAGACCACGCAGGGCGGCAGCAUGAGAGAAUUCUGGUGAAUAGGGCCCCCCACAGGGCCCUAACCAUCAAAUGAAACCUUCGUUGCUAAGGGAUGAAGGGUCUUUCCAGCAUUGCUCUGAUCUAUUGCAGAUGGCAUCAGCUUCCAUGUGGGCUUGAGGGUGUCACAGAAGUGGGCUAGUUCAAAUACAAAAAUAAGUGAGGAGCAUCCUUCUGUGACUUCUACUCAAGUAUCUGGUAACGGAUCCGGAUGGCAGCAUUGCAGGGCAAAGCUGGAAGCAUUACCCCAACCAAUCAGAGGGGGGAGAGACCCCUGGCCUAUGUGUUGUAUUUUCAGGCAAAUCAUUCUUGGCUUGUAUUUUUCAUAUUCCUGUGUUUGUUGGACCGGAGGAGAAAGACAGAGAGAUAGAGAAUCGUCUAAUUUCACUCAUUUGCCUUUUUCUAUUGUACAAAUUGAUGAAUGAAUUAUAGUCCUUGUGUGGGAGGAUGGUGACGAGAGAAACCUUCAAAACCUUUUCUCAUUUUCAAAUAUGGAAUUUUGGGAUUCCACCAUGACUAAUAACUGUGUAAUUUCACCGCCCUCGUAUGUGAAAACCUCCUUUUUGUUUUCAUGA